GAUGAACGCUGGCGGCGUGCCUAAUACAUGCAAGUCGAGCGAACGGACGAGAAGCUUGCUUCUCUGAUGUUAGCGGCGGACGGGUGAGUAACACGUGGAUAACCUACCUAUAAUACUGGGAUAACUACGGGAAACCGGAGCUAAUACCGGAUAAUAUUUUGAACCGCAUGGUUCAAAAGUGAAAGACGGUCUUGCUGUCACUUAUAGAUGGUUCCGCGCUGCAUUAGCUAGUUGGUAAGGUAACGGCUUACCAAGGCGACGAUGCGUAGCCGACCUGAGAGGAUGAUAGGCCACACUGGAACUGGGACGCGGACCAGACUCCUGCGGGAGGCAGCAGAGGGGAAUGUUGGACAGUGGGGGCAAGCCUGAGGCAGCCAUCCCGCGUGUGUGAAAGAGGCCUUCGGGUUGUAAAGCCCUUUUGUUGGGAAAAAAAAGCUGUAGAUUAAUACGACGCUGUUGUGACGGUACCCAAAAAAGAAGCACCGGCUAACUACGUG
rnacentral:rRNA from 1 species